rnacentral:lncRNA from 1 species
UGGAAUAUGCUUUUUUCUAGCCAGUGAGGAACUCGUACCUAUCUAGCCUUCUUGUCAGCUGAUUGCCUUCUUAUUUUAUUUUCUUAAAUUAUUAGGGUAACUAAAAGUAGAAAACUUUGUUAAAUACUUCUUCUACUGUGGUAAUCUAUUAUUUUUUUUAAUUUCUUAAUUUAAUUUUUUUUCCUCAAUUAGAUGUAAAAAGUUUCCAACAUUUUUCAAAGAGCCUCAAAUUCUCUUCCCCACCACCUCUCCAUCCCCCCAAAAUGGUCAACAAUCUCAUAUAAAUUUUAUAUGUGCAAUCAUAUAAAACAUUGUUCCAUAUUAAUCCUUUUGUGGAGAGAAACUCAAAAAAUUUAAGAAAGUAAAAAAGUUUGCUUUGUUCUAGAUUGUGGAAAGGGAAACUAAAGCAAGUUCUGGACUUUCUGCCACUGAGUUGGAACAAACAGCAGUUGGAGUGUUAGAGAGAAGAUAUUGGCAAGACUGACAGUUGGUGGGGGAAAUGACAACUGGGAGUGGCAGUUGGUAUUGUCAUGAGCACUUCCAUUUGGGCCCUGGAAGUGGAAGGAGUGCUCUCUCCCUGUCUCUGGAUUGGUGUGCCUCUAUUUCUGAAUUUCCCAAAUGUGUGCUCUACCUGGAUUCCUCUGAUCAUACCAUCCGACAAAAGGACUUAAGAAGGGACCACAAAAGAGCCACUGCACAGUGCCACGGAGCACAAAGUUAACCUGCAUAAUGCCAAGGAGCACAAGGUCAAGGAAGCAACCCUGGUGGGAUUGAUGAGAUUCUGUGCCAAGUCAGGGGACUUGAAUUUAUUUCGGGGCUCAAGGAAGCAGCUGUUUGACAACAUUAGAUGAAGCAUAUCCCAUGCCAGAUCAAGACUACUACCAAGUGUCUCAGUUUGGCUGCCAUUUUGGCUACCCUAUUCCUGAGAGAAAAGGUAAAAUCAAACCAGGGAAUGCUAUUUCCCUUUUGUUUCAAAAAAUCUAGUUCCUAUUUCUCUCUCUUUCAUAGUAUGGAAAUUUUCUCUUGUCCUGGAUGCUGAUUCGAUAAAUGCUACAUUGUUAUAAUUGUUACUGCAGGCUUGUGGGACAUAAAUCACUUUAAUUGGGGUCUGAUUCAAGGAGCUGUUAUAGGCUUAUUUUUCCUUACUUAGAAUUGUUACACAUGAGACUUUGAUAUUUUAUGUUUCCAGAAGUUACUUUUUUCUCUUUUGUUUUUUAUGUUUUUGAUUUUUUAAUAUUGAUUCAUAUACCCCAUAACUUAUCCAUGUAUCCCAGAGUGACUCAUGUGUUUGUCAACAUGCUAAUGUAGGGAGAAUAUAAAUUUUGUGUAGCUCUACCUUCUCUCUCUUUUCCCACAAACAUGGCUGGGAAAGCUGGCUUUACUUAGGGUUCUACUUCUGUCCUUUUAUUUCUUCUACCUCAAGUGAGUAUUAAUAAAUCUUAUAAAAUAUAAUACUUGGAGUUAUUG